AUCCAGCUGACGAGUUCCAAAUAAGAUGAAACGUGCGUCCUGGAU
rfam:Schistosoma haematobium scaffold11_9, whole genome shotgun sequence.